GCCCAUAUGGCUUAGUUGGUAAAGCGCAUCACUCGUGUUUUGUCAUGAUGAGACCCUCGGUUCGAAUCCGAGUGUGGGCA